rnacentral:rRNA from 1 species
GACGAACGCUGGCGGCGUGCUUAACACAUGCAAGUCGAACGAUGAAGCCCAGCUUGCUGGGUGGAUUAGUGGCGAACGGGUGAGUAACACGUGAGUAACCUGCCCUGGACUCUGGGAUAACCCCGAGAAAUCGGAGCUAAUACCGGAUAGGACCCUUCCCCGCAUGGGGAUUGGUGGAAAGUUUUUCGGUUUGGGAUGGACUCGCGGCCUAUCAGCGUGUUGGUGAGGUAAUGGCUCACCGAGGCGUCGACGGGUAGCCGGCCUGAGAGGGUGACCGGCCACACUGGGACUGAGACACGGCCCGGACUCCUACGGGAGGCAGCAGUGGGGAAUAUUGCACAAUGGGCGCAAGCCUGAUGCAGCAACGCCGCGUGCGGGAUGACGGCCUUCGGGUUGUAAACCGCUUUUAGUAAGGAAGAAGGGGCUUCGGCCUUGACGGUACUUGCAGAAAAAGGACCGGCUAACUACGUGCCAGCCGCCGCAGUAAUAC